rnacentral:rRNA from 1 species
UCCUCCCUCUUUCUUCGUGCUUAACACAUGCAAGUCGAACGGAAAGGCCCUGCUUUUGUGGGGUGCUCGAGUGGCGAACGGGUGAGUAACACGUGAGUAACCUGCCCUUGACUUUGGGAUAACUUCAGGAAACUGGGGCUAAUACCGGAUAGGAGCUCCUGCUGCAUGGUGGGGGUUGGAAAGUUUCGGCGGUUGGGGAUGGACUCGCGGCUUAUUAGCUUGUUGGUGGGGUAGUGGCUUACCAAGGCUUUGACGGGUAGCCGGCCUGAGAGGGUGACCGGCCACAUUGGGACUGAGAUACGGCCCAGACUCCUACGGGAGGCAGCAGUGGGGAAUAUUGCACAAUGGGCGGAAGCCUGAUGCAGCAACGCCGCGUGCGGGAUGACGGCCUUCGGGUUGUAAACCGCUUUCGCCUGUGACGAAGCGUGAGUGACGGUAAUGGGUAAAGAAGCACCGGCUAACUACGUG